rnacentral:ncRNA from 1 species
GAUAAAUCCAUUGCAGGCGACUUUAAUUGAACGGGGGUAUUGUAAGCAGUAGAGUAGCCUUGUUUCCACGAUCUGCUGAGAUUAAGCCCAUUGUUCUAUAGAUUU